GUGUCGAAAGGACGAUUUUGCCCUUGCUUUUCCCCCACAAUCUCUGGCUGCCAUUGACCUAGGUACUAGAUGCUUCCAUCGGUUUCUUCUUUCUUCUACGACCGUAUAACCAAGAUUGACUUCCAUAAGUGUAAGUGGUGAGAAGAGAGAGUUUGCUGCGGAUAAGAAGGAAAGGGACUGUGAUAGAGAUCGAAAGAGACUCUGAGAGCGAAGAGGCUGCUCUUUUGCUUUAACCACAACACUCCAAUAGCUCAAGUGAAACUCACCUGCAGUCUAUUUGUUCUCAGAUUAGAAUCCGUACUAUAGCAUUUAAAAGGUGCUUCUUGACGAUGGGAAGACAGAGAGGCUCAUCUUGGCUCAUCAAUCAGGAUUAGAAGCUUCCCAACCGGCUCUAACUCAAUAUCCUGUGCUUGGUCCUAUGAUAAAUGGAUGCUCAUGGAUUGAAUUACAACCACUCACAAGCCGAAAUGGAUGCUCAUGGAUUGAAUUACAACCACUCACUAGCCGAAAGCAUCAGUUGGCUACUAUUUGGUUGGAGCGAAAGGAUUCCUUAGCUGGCUGUUGGCAUUAACAGAAACCAAGCCAAAUCCUAAAGGCGAAAACCCACAAGCAUUGAUAUAGAGAGCUGCAGUCAUAUAUGAGCUGAAGACACAAUGCAACUUCUAAAAGUUCCUCACAAGGUGGCCAGACAGAGAGGGACUUAGAUUACUCUUCAAAUAAGAUUGGUGCCAUGAUGAGCCAUUAUCUGUAUCUACCAUCCUAUUACGAAUUAAUCGUUUAUAAUUGCUUAAAGCACUCAUUGAUACAAUCAUAAACAUGCCAGAGGAAAAUCCUGCUGAAAAUAGUAUGGCUUGCAGUUUAUAUAUAUCGAGGCAGCAAAACCACCAAGGUUGUGUUUAUGCAGUAUGAUCAUGUGCUAUUUGGUGACUGCCACACUAUCUUCACUACUUAUUACGCCUCAGUCAGAGGUGUACUUUCAUCUCAGUUGAUGGGCUUUGGUAUGGUGUUAAGAACAUCGAGUAAUGGAGCCAACUCGGAAGAAAUCAUAGACCAGCUUCAAUGACAUAGGUUGUCUCAAGAAGAAUGUGCCAACAUUGAUAUAGUUAUUGGCAUUGAUAAAAAACCUAAAAACCAAGUCAAGCCAUAUGGUCUAGAUAAUGAAACUACUGGAGAGCGGAUAGAGAUCCAGAUAUAGUGGUACCUGAAGAUGGGAUUUACCGAUUCAGGAAGAGUGUCAGGACCAGGACAUCUUUUAUGAGAAUGAUAGAUAACCUUUUGUUGCAUGCGAUUAUUUAGCUAUUUAACAUUUCAUCUGUACAAUUGAUUUUAAUAGCUUGGAUUCACUUUCAGGUUUAAUAUACUGUGUUUUUGAACCUCUA